AAAACAUUGUGUUCUGCUACAGUAUGUGAGGAAAGUAGAUAACAACACAAGAAUACCAGAUAUUGAGCAGCAUGUUGGUAGAGGCAGCUUGACUGACACCUUAAAAAACAUCAUGUUCUGCUAUGUGAGAAAAGUAGAUAACAACACAAGAAUACCAGAUAUUGAUAGCUUGCUACAGUUAAUUCAUUAGCAUAUUCAACCAGACCAGCAGUCUUCAUUACCAGGCAGAAAAAUGAUGAAUAUUCAUUGAAAUCAACUUGAAACUGCAAAACUCAGGAAAACAGCAAAACUGACACCAAGUCCAGAACAACUUCUGAGAGGCAUAUAUAUCUUUCAGCGGGGCCAAGGGUGGUGGGUGGCGCGUAGGUUCCACGGCAGCCGAAUGCCUAUGAUAGGCGAUCGCUUCCGCUUGGAUCCUCCCGACUGUCUUAAUGCGCGAGAUGCUGCCGAAAUUUUCAAAAAAAGUUUUGGUAACAUUUAUUGGAUUGUAAGUGUUGUUUGAAAUACAUUACGCUACAAAAGAGUUGUAGUACAAUGAAAAUGGUGUUGGCAAUUAGUUUUAUUCAAGUCCAGAAUUUCAUUUAAGUCCAGAAUAGGACUCAACCAUUUACACUAAAUCCAGAAUAGGACUCAACCAUUUACAUUAAUUUAAAAAAGAAUUCUUUUUAAAGUCUAGAAAUUUACAUUAAGUCCAAGAUGGGACCAAUAAUUUACACUAAGUUUCACUUCGUCCAGCAUAGGACUCAACCAUUUACAUUAAUUUAAAAAGGAAUUCUUUUUAAAGUCUAGAAAUUUACAUUAAGUCCAAGAUAGGACCAAUAAUUUACACUAAGUUUAACUAAGUCCAGCAUAGGACUCAACUAUUUACAUUAAGUCCAGAAUGUUAGCUAAGUCCAGAAUAGGACUCAACCAUUUACAUUAAUUUAACUAAGUCCA